UCUCCAAUUCAGUAAAUAUUUUGAUUUCGUACGGUUUGGUCGCGCCAAAACAAUAAAAAUAACGAUUCACUACUGCUCGAGGUCCGUUAAGCAAUAUAAAACAAGAAUAUGGGUAACCCAAUCUGGUUUAUUUUCUGGCUUUUAGUAUUAAUUUUCAUAUCAUUCUGGAUUGCAUUUAUCGCUUCUUGGUUCUAUAUUUUCUUGUAUGUGUUAGUGGUGUGGUGUUCGGGCUUAUCGGGUCUUACUGAUAUGUUGUUGCAAGUCAUUCAAUUUCCUCAUUACUGUGCAAAGGCAAUGAUGGAGUGCCGAGCACCAUUUUAAUAUAUUUUAAUAUAUAUAUAUA